GUGGAGGCAGAGGCUAGAUCUGGAGCUGCUAGGAAAGGCUUGCAUCACCACCUUUACAAUCUGAAGGAAGCACACACACAAAGACUGCAGGUAUCCAAUUAACGUGCUGAUAUUAGACACACACAAAUAAACAAACAGAGAUAAAAAAGUGGGGGAAAAAAUCUAAUUGAAUAUACGUAGUUGACAAUGUGCAUAUUCACUUGGGGUUUUAUAAUAUUAUGCCCUACAGUAUACUGCAAAAGUCCUUGUUCUACUCCAGAAAUCUAUAAUCAGUUUGUGAGAAAAUUAAAUUGUGUUUUUUUGGUGGUGACUGAUGGUCAUUGCUCCUCUCCUCCAGGUGGAGGUGGUGUUGGACACACAAACCCAGCUGGUUUGUGAAGGUUUCCAUGUGACUAAAGAGAUGUAAAUGAAUCAGUUGUAAGAUGUAA